GCGGAUGGCCGGAUGGCCGCGGCCCGGCAACGGGUCGAGGAAAGUCCGGACUCCAUGAAGAAACGGUGCCGGGUAACGCCCGGCCGGGGCAACCCGAGGGAAAGCGCCACAGAAAACAGACCGCCCGCGGGCAACCGCGGGCAAGGGUGAAACGGUGGGGUAAAAGCCCACCGCGGGACGGGCAACCGGACCGGCACGGCAAGCCCCACCGGGAGCAAUGCCGAAUAGGGGCCCCACGCAUGCCGGGCAACCGGCAGCAGGGAACUUCAGCCCGGGGCCCGGGUUGGCAGCACGAUCCCGCCGGUAACGGCGGGACCAGAGGAAUGGUCAUCGAAGGGGCGCCCGAAACGGCCCCCGGAACAGAAUCCGGCUUACAGGCCAUCCGCGCAC
rnacentral:RNase_P_RNA from 1 species